AUGACCCGAGACGGCGUACAAUUUGACGCCGCGAAACGAUCAUAUCGGAAUGCUAAGGCCGAGGGGAACCGGCACGAGGAAGCCAAAUGGGCCAAUGUAAUCGGCAAUAUUUUGAAGAACAGAGGAGAAUACGUAAAAGCCCUCAAGUGGUUUCGGAUCGAUUACGAUGUGUCGGUUAAGUACUUACCUCAGAAGCAUAUGCUGGCAACGUGCCAGUCCCUGGGCGAGGUCUAUCUUAGGCUCGAACACUUUAAAGAUGCUUUAAUUUAUCAGAAGAAACAUUUAGAGCUAGCCAAAAAUGCUAAUGACCUGGUGGAACAGCAAAGAGCUAACACUCAACUGGGUCGUACUUACCAUGAACUAUUUUUGAAAUCUGAUGAUGACCAUUUUUCAGUAAGAAAUGCCAAAAAGUAUUUCAAGGCUGCCAUGGAACUAGCAAAGUUUCUGAAAGAUCACCCACCAAAAAUUGGAUGUUCAUUUCUCAAGGAAUAUAUUGAUGCUCAUAAUAAUUUGGGAAUGCUUGAUAUGGAUCUUGAUAAUUUGGAAGAGGCCAAAAAGAUCUUAAUGAAAGGACUAGAGAUUUGCGAGGAAGAAGAGGUGGAUGAGGAUGAUGAUGGUCGUAGCAGGCUCCAUCACAACCUUGGAAGUGUAUAUAUGGAGCUAAGAAUGUGGGACCAAGCUAAGAAGCAUGUUGAGAAGGAUAUUAUAAUCUGUAAGAAUAUUGGGCAUUGCCAAGGAGAGGCUAAAGGAUACAUUAACCUUGGUGAACUGCAUUACAGGGUUCAAAAGUAUGAUGAAGCAAUUCAUUGCUAUCGGAAGGCUCUUCAUUUGGCAAAAUCAAUGGAAGAUGAGGAUGCUUUGGCUAGGCAAAUUGAUCAGAAUAUCAACACUGUUAAAGAAGCAGUACAAGUGAUGGCUGAACUAAGAAAAGAAGAGCAGAAUCUUAAGAAGCUAACGAGAGAAAUGCUUACUGCUAGAGGCACACCUCGUGAGCGCAAAUGCCUACUGCAGCAAAAUGCUUGUCUUGAUUGCUUAAUUGAAAAAUCAAGUACGAUUUUUGCAUGGAUGCAGCAUCUUGAAUUUGCAAAAAGGAAGAAAAGGGUAGCAAGUGAACUUUGUGACAAGGAAAAGCUGAGUGAUUCUUAUCUGGCUAUUGGGGAAUCAUAUCAAAAACUAAGAAAAUUCACAAAAUCCAUUAAAUGGUAUGUGAAGAGCUGGGAAGUAUACAAGUCUAUUGGUAAUUUAGAGGGACAAGCACUGGCCAAGAUUAAUAUUGGUGAUGUUUACGACUGUGAUGGUAAGUGGACAGAGGCACUAGAUGCAUUUGAGGAGAGUUACAGGAUUGCUGUUGAGGCUAAACUUCCUUCCGUCCAGCUUUCAGCACUGGAGAAUAUGCAUUAUAGCCACAUGAUACGAUUUGAUAAUGUAGAGGAAGCUAGGCGGUUACAGUCUCAAAUUGAUCAAUUGAAGGAGAAAACAAAAAGUGGUAAUGAGACAAAAUCUGUGGCGGAGGAUUGUUGCUCUGAAACUGAUACAGAAGCAAAUGAGGGUCUGUCAGAUAGUCCAUCCGACGAGUGCUCCUUGUCAGAAACUAGAAAAUCUUGUAAAGGCACAUUUCAUUCUUCAAAAUCUUUAUCCGAUUUAGAAGAGCCAAAUGACGCAGUUAUUUUUACUUCUUCCCUCAAGCGGCAUGAAAGGUCACCUAAAAUCAAAUCAGUUGACAUGGAAAAAUGCAAUGCUUUUUCUAACCCAUCUGAAAUUUCACCUAAAAGUUUGUCCAAGUCAGCUGGUAGCCAACAAACAACCAUUGGUCGUAAACGUGUUCGUGUGAUUAUUUCUGAUGAUGAUGAAAGUGAGGAUGAAAUGAUGGAUUUCUCGAAAUCAAGGCCUCAUUUAUGCCGGGGAGAAAAUUCUGCUACUUCUGAUGACAACAAGGAUAAACAAUGCUUGGGAAAUCUUGCAGCUGAAAUUAAGGAGGGUUCAACAACAACCAGCAAACAUGCAAGCAGGUCUUGUGAAGACAUUGAAGAAAGCACCGGUUCACAUAAAUACAAGAGUCGAAUCAUCGUGACUCAAAAUGAUAAAAUUUUUGGAACCCCAAAUGCUGAUGAAAUAUUUCCUUCUGAUUCUGCUGCUAGUGGCUCAAAAUUUGAAGUUAACAUCUCUGAAAAUCUGUUGCAUAAAUAUAAUGCUACCAAGUCAAAUCCUUCUGAGCAGGGUGAAUGUGUUACGUUUAAAAUUGAUAAUGAGCUGAUACACGCAGAGGUUUCCUUAUUUAGCGAUAUGCUAAGCAUUGAAUCUGCAAAGGAAGAACUAGCAUGCAUGUACUAUCUACAACUUCCAUUUGAAAAGAGAUCAGAGGGUCUGUUACCUGUGAUUCAACAUAUAAGUCAUGAUGGGAAAACUCUGGAGACCCUUGAAUUUUCAAGAACCUAUGAACAUGGAAGAAAUCUUUUGUUUGAAGCUGUCGUCAACGGCUGGGUUUCAAAACCCUUGAUAAAACUCUAUAUUGACUACUGCAAGGAGUUAUCCGAGACACCUAACAUGAAGCUACUGAAGAAACUGUACAAUCUGGAGGCUUCAGAUGACGAGAUUGCAGUGUCUGAUUGUGAUCUGCAAGACUUAUCUAUAAGUCCAUUGUUGAAUGCGCUGCACACCCAGAAAACUUUUGCUAUCUUAGACAUUUCUCACAAUUUCUUAGGAAAUGGAACGAUGGAGAAAAUUCAGCAGGUCUUCAAGCAGUCCAGCCAGACACAUGACUUAACGUUAGAUUUACACUGCAAUCGAUUUGGUCCAACUGCUUUAUUCCAGAUUUGUGAAUGCCCUAUUCUGUUUGCUCGAUUGGAAGUGCUUAACAUAUCUGGAAAUCGCCUUACUGAUGCUUGUGGGUCAUACCUGUCAACUAUCUUAAAAAAUUGCAAAGGUCUUUGGAGCUUGAACAUUGAACGAUGUUCCAUCACAUCUAGAACUAUUCAGAAGGUUGCUGAUGCAUUGGAAGUUGGAGCAUCCUUGGAAAAGCUCUAUAUAGGAUACAAUAACUCAAUCUCUGGAAAUGCCCUAAGUAGUUUAUUUGUUAAGCUCACAGUACUGAAUAGGUUUACAAGUCUUAGUCUAAGCGGUUUGAAGUUGAGCAAGCCUGUUAUGGAAGGCCUUCUCCAGCUUGUUAAAUCCUUGGGUUUGUCUGGAUUAAUGCUUGGGGGCACUGGCAUUGGAGAUGAUGCUGCCUUAGGGAUAACUGAGUCAUUUAGCGGAAGUGAAGAGCUUCUGAAACUUGACUUAGCUUAUUGUGGACUGACAUCCAAGUACCUUACUAAAUUUUGUGGUUGCAUUUCUAUUAUUCAGCGCAUUCAUGAGCUGAACCUUGCUGGGAAUGCCAUCAUGCAAGAGGGUUGUAAUGCAAUAUCGUCACUAAUAGCUAACCACCAAUGCGGCAUUAAAGUCUUGCUUCUCAACAAGUGUCAGCUUGGCCUUGCUGGAGUUGUUCAAAUCAUUCAGGCUGUAGCAGGCAACCACUGUCUUGAAGAGCUCAAUCUUGCUGAUAACAUUGAUCUUGAUAAACAUACUCUGCAAUGUAACAUAAUAGAGAGAGAAAGUAAAGAACUUAUACAACCGUGCCAUGAUAUAUCUAAGCCUCAUGGCCUAACCUGUUCAAUCAAAGAGUUGGACCCUGCUCAACAGACUUUAGAGGAGGUAAACACUGAAUACAAUGGGCUUGAAGUUGCUGAUAGUGAAGAACCAAUUAAAGAAUCUGCAGCAUCUAGGAUCGAUGAUAGUUGUGCAAGUUCAUGUGAAAGAAAAUCCGCAUCUCUUGAUUGCCAGUUUAUUCUAUCACUUUCAACUGCAAUUGGAAUGGCAAAGACAUUGCGAUUACUGGAUCUUAGCAAUAAUGGUUUUUCUGCUCAAGAGACGGAAACAAUAUUCGGUGCCUGGUCAACUUCGAGAACCGAUUUGGCCCAAAGACAUAUUAAGGACAACAUAGUACAUCUAUAUGUAAAGGGAACGAAGUGUUGUGUGAGACCCUGCUGCAAGAAGGAUUAAUGUGAUGCUGCUGAAAUCUGUUAUAUCAGAAUCCUUCUAUGAAUAGCGGGCGGCAAGAUGGCAAGGAUUGAAGAGGGAGCCUAAAAUUACUUUGAUGAGCACAAGUCACGGGUGGACUGAUUUAUGGGAGGUGGAGGAAAGUAUUCUUUAACGUUAGAACAAAAAAAAUGUAGUUCCUAUGUUUUUAUCUCUAUUUUUUUACAUUAAAAAUUAUCAAGCAAUCUACAGACAUGCUUUCUCAGUUGAGGUCUACAAAACGUGAGGGGGAAAAAAAAACAAGUAGAGGAAUUGGAUAAUUUGAACUCAUUCAAAGAUAUUUCUUAACUAUAUUUAUCGACUUGAACAUAACUCAACAAGUUAAAAUAUUAAUUAUGUCCUCAACUAAUAAGUCGGUUAAAUCAUUAAAAAAAAGGAUAGAAUGAUAAACCCCCAAGCAUAGAGUAUGUAUAAAUGGAAAUUGAUUUUGCUGUUAUGACCAAAUUUAAAGAAACUUGUCCAAUUAAUCUCAUAAAGAAUAGUAUAAAGAAAUCAAAAUUUGUUAACGAGGAAUUUAAAAGUGGAUUUAAGGUGCAAUAGUUGUGUAAUCCAUUGAAAUCAAAUAUUGUUGUGGGGGUAUAAUAAUUUAAUAAUGGCAAAGGGGAGAGUUGUUGGCAUGCUUCUCAACAAAUUGCAGUGGGAUUCCUUUUGCUCAUUUAAUUCAAUUGUUGUCCCUUCUUCAGGAACCUCUUGCCCUAAACUUUUGCUUGCUUUACCAUUUUAUAAUUGCCUUUAUAUCUUUUAGUUUCGUGUGGUAAAUGAUGCUUCCCUCCACAUUCCUUAGCACGUGUAAUGAAUAUCACUAACAUUUUGAUUUGGCCUUUUUUUUCCUCUUAUAAAACAUUAAAAAAAAAACACUAAGUACAUGUACAUUGGAUCACCUACUUCAAUUGAAUAUCUUCUUGUAUUUUCUUUUUGAUUAAGUUAUAUAUUUCAUCUUUAUAUUUUUAUGUGUUUGUUUCCAUUCUUGUUUAUACAUUUUAAGUUUCCAAUUUCCACCAUGUAUUUUAUUUUUAUUAAUUUAUG